AGUGAACGCUGGCGGUAGGCCUAACACAUGCAAGUCGAACGGCAGCACAGGAGAGCUUGCUCUCUGGGUGGCGAGUGGCGGACGGGUGAGGAAUACAUCGGAAUCUACUCUGUCGUGGGGGAUAACGUAGGGAAACUUACGCUAAUACCGCAUACGACCUACGGGUGAAAGCAGGGGAUCUUCGGACCUUGCGCGAUUGAAUGAGCCGAUGUCGGAUUAGCUAGUUGGCGGGGUAAAGGCCCACCAAGGCGACGAUCCGUAGCUGGUCUGGGGGAAUGAGCAGCCACACUGGAAAUGACACACGGUACAGCGUCAUACGGGAGGCAGCAGUGGGGAUUAUUGGAAAAUGGGCGAAAGCCUGAUCCAGCCAUACCGCGUGGGUGAAGGAGGCCUUCGGGUUGUGAAGCCCUUUUGUUGGGAAAGAAAUCCAGCUGGCUAAUACCCGGUUGGGAUGACGGUACCCAAAGAAUAAGCACCGGCUAACUUCGUGCCAGCCGCCGCCGUAA
rnacentral:rRNA from 1 species